rnacentral:lncRNA from 1 species
CCUUUCCGGCAUCCCGACUCCGCUGGUGCCUCUUAUGCCGUGGCCCCGAGCUCGCCGCUCUGGCCCCGCCUCACCUGCGGCCACCCCGGCCCCACCUCGCCCGCUACCACCCUGACUCCAUCGGUGCCACCUAAGCCACCGCCUAGGUCCCCCCUCACCCACGGCCGCCCUAACCCCAUUGGUGCCUCCUACACUAUGGCCCCACCU